AAACCUCCCAAUCACAUGACAUCACCCACCUCAAGCCUUCAUGUUGGUUUGCUGAUAGGAGGGUCUACUCACAGAGGAGGCUGGAAAUAAUCAGUAUAACUACUGACAGACUGACAAUACCUUUCAUAUCAAUACAGUUAUUACCAAACACAAAAGACAACAUGAUCCUCAUAUUCCUAAGCAUUCAUUUGAACAAUGUUCUGGUUUCAGGUUUGUCUCUCAGUGACCAAGUCCACCAGAGUCCAGCUGAUAUGUUCAAACAACCAGGAGAAGAAGCCAAAAUCAACUGUUUGCACACCAUUUCAACAUAUAAUCAAAUCCUCUGGUACAAGCAGACAAACAGACAACUACAGUUUCUGGGAUACAUGAAUGUUAAUACUGGAUAUCCAGAGGAUGGAGCAGAUUUAGUGGAUGUGAUGAGCAGCUCAGUGUGUUUCUAAGAGGAGGGACUUGCACAUUUUCUUCACACCUCCACCAACCAACUUGGUUUUCUGAUUGGAGGACUUACGUACAUGAAAUUAGGAGGGAAUCAUCAGCAUACAUGCAUGGAUAGUGAUGAAAACAGCAGCAGAAACAAGACUGAGUUUAAAUACAGGCAGAAAACACAACAUGUUGAUCGCCGUCUGCUUCAUAACCUUGAAUGUUAUCAUGGUUUCAGGUUCCUCUCUAAGUGACCAAGUCAAACAGAUUCCAGACCAGAUGUUCUACAAACCUCAAGAAACAGCCAAAAUAACCUGUUCCCACAGUAUUCAAAACUACGAUCAAAUCCUUUGGUACAAGACGUC